rnacentral:lncRNA from 10 species
GAGACCAGGCAAUGGGAAUCCAGGAGAGAAAAUGGGAAAGAGAGCUUAAAAAUGUCCUUAGGAGGUUCAAGUUUUUCCGUGCCUGUGUGAGGUAACUCACUCCGUGGACACCCUCCCCACCUCCAACCAUUCUUCUGUAAAAUUUAUAUUUCUUGCUAACACUCUUGGAGUUGGGGUUAUUUAGAGUUUAUUUGAACAACUAUCUUAAACAUAUAAUUAUAACACAUUUAUUUGACAUUUAUAGAGCUCUAAUUGUGUGCAAGGAACUGUGCAAGAUGCUAGGGCAACAGCAGUCAACAAAGGAGACACAUAGUCCUAGCCUCAUGGAAGGUACAGCCAAGCAGGGGUGACACAUGGUAGGUCAGUGCUGGGAAAGACAAACAUGGUAUGCUGAGGACAUGGAACAAUCAAGGGCAUCCAGGCAGAGGCUGAGUGGAGGAGGAGUUUGCAAGGCUGUGCCAAGAACAUUUUUCAGGGUAGAAUCUACCCCCCAGGCAGAGAUGUGGGGAAUAAAGACCAAAAUGGAAACAGCACUGGCCAAGUCUGAGAGCCACGUGAAAAUAGCACAGCACACUUAGGGAUCUGGGGAUUUGGGAUUGCUGGAGUCAAAGUGUUGAGUGUGAGGGGGUAGAAAAGCAUAAUUAUAUGUAGAGUCAGUGCCUGAACAGUUCAGUCAGAAAAGCACAUUUUUCAGGCUAAGAAACUUGGCCUUGGUCCUGCUUAGGUUUUACAGACAAGAGAUUGCCUUUCUGAAAGCUUACCCUGGAGACUGUGUAGCUAGAUGAUGGGCUGAGAGAAAAGGAGGAAGGUGGAUAUAAGAAAGCUCCUGCAAAAAUGCAGGUGAAAAAUGAUGAGGACCUCCACUGGGGACGGGCAGGAGAGGGCAGAUUUAAGGGAUGUUUGGUGAAACUUUCAAGGGGAACUGCUGAUGGACUGGCAAGAGGAAUCCCAGCAGGAUCAGGUGGCUAUGCUCUGGACGGUUUGCAUAACUGUCAGUGGCACCAUUCACUUCACAUUGUAGUUAUAAUCUCUGUCAACAGUGGCACCUGGAGAUGUGCAGUACACAGCCUAGGCAAUCUUACAGAGAAAUCCUGACUCCAAACUCAUCUGUUUCUAUUACUUUUGAGCUUUGGAGGGAUUUAAAGUUUUUCUUUCUCUUAGGGUUUUAUUUAAGCCAUUUUCUUUUGGAAAAAUCUCAGCUAGCAUCAUAGAGUGCGGUAGGAAAGGAAUGUAAUUGGGAAAUGAUAUUGUCUUAUUUUUCUAUAUAAUUUAGCCACCUUUACACUUAAGAUGGCAGACACGGGAAUUACAUUUUUUUAAUGGAGUUUCCCUCUUGUCACCCAGGCUGGAGUGCAGUGGUGUAAUCUCGGCUCACUGCAACCUCCACCACCCAGGUUCAAGCAAUUCUCCUGCCUCAGCCUCCCGAGUAGCUGGGAUAACAGGCGUGCGCCACUACGGCCAGCUAAUUUUUGUAUUUUUAGUAGAGGCGGGGUUUUACCAUGUUGACCAGGCUGGCCUCGAACUCCUAACCUCAGGUGAUCCACCUGCCUCAGCCUCUCAAAGUGCUGGGAUUACAGGUGUGAGCCACCGUGUCUGGCCAGGAGCUAAACAAUUUGAGGUCAAGAUGUGGCGUUAACAAUGUUCCCACAGAUCACAGAAACACAAGUGGACAGCAGAGGCCCUUCUUGCACUAGUACUUCUACCUGGAUGGGGCCUCAGAGGUCUGACUUUCCACAGGAGAAGAAAAUCUUUGAGAGCCAAUUUUACUGCUGGGUGCUGAUGUUUUCCUCAACUGUCUAAAUAAAUCUUCAGCUAAUAAACAUUUCAAUAAAUCUGUUCUGGUGCCUUCCAUUCCUUAAACUAUACAGCCAGAGAAGAUGGAACAUAUGAGCUUGGAUUCUGUCUCUGUAGCGGAUGCAGGGAUAUAAGUGAGCUGAGUUUUACACAUGAAUUCAACUGAAAUCACGAUAGGGCAACACCAAUAAC